GUUACGUGACGAUGACACCAGCGAUUAGGCGGUGUUAAUUUACGACCCGACUACCGCCUUCCGGGAAACCCCUCUUUUUCGUUUCCGGGGGAAGUAUGGUUGCAAAGCUGAAACUUAAAGGAAUUGACGGACGGGCACCACCAGGAGUGGAGCCUGCGGCUUACUUUGACCCGACACGGGAAAACUCCCCCGGCCCGGACACCGUAUGGAUUGACAAACUGAUAGCUCUUUCUUAAUUCGGGGGGUGGGGGUGCAUGGCCGUUCUUGAUUGGUGGACCGAUUUGUCUGGUUAAUUCCAAUAACGAACGAAACUCUGGCCUAUUAAAUAGUCGGUAUAUCCAAAAAAGUUUCCCGUACUUCUUAGAGGGACAUCCGGUGUCUACCCUCGUGAAAUAGAGCAAUAGCGUGUCUGUGAUCCCCUUAGAUGUCGGGCGCUGCGCGCGCUCUACGCUGAAAUCAUCUGUAUCCGCUUUACCCUUCUCCGGAAUGAUUGGGUAUUCCGAGCUUAUUCUUUCCUGGGUGGAGAGGGAAUUUGGGAUUAUUUCCCCUUAAACGAGGUAUUCCCAGUAGAUGCGGGUCAUAACCUCGCGUUGAUUACCUCCCUGUCCUUUGUACACACCGCCCGUCGCUACUACCGAUUGAAUGUCUUAGUGAGGUUUUCGGACUGACCGGCGCAACUGCUCUCGGAGUUUGCUUUGGUGAGUAUGGUCAUAUACCCACACUUUGAACAAUGAAAGAAAGUAAACAACGUUGCCUCGUUUGCGUAUGUGACCCUGCGAAAGGGGCAUAGUCGAAUCCUUCUAAGCUACAUCACUAUUCGCUGAGUAGAUGUAAUCGACGCCGCGCGUAUAAAAAUAUAUGAGGGGGGCGCGGACCCAGAUUUAUUUUUCUCUGCGCUCGUGAGUUAUUUGAC
rnacentral:rRNA from 1 species